GGUACUUGAGGAGGAAGCCCCGGCUAACUACGUGCCAGCAGCCGCGGUAAUACAGUAGGGGGCAAGCGUUAUCCGGAAUCACUGGGCGUAAAGGGUGCGUAGGCGGUUUUUCAAGUCAGAAGUGAAAGGCUAUGGCUCAACCAUAGUAAGCUUUUGAAACUGUUAAACUUGAGUGCAGGAGAGGAAAGUGGAAUUCCUAGUGUAGAGGUGAAAUUCGUAGAUACCCA
rnacentral:rRNA from 1 species